GGUAACUCUAUCGUUUUGUUAUUUUUUGUGUUUGGCGUUCCAGUCAUUUUUCCUUCC
rnacentral:sRNA from 1 species